GGAGCUGUGGCCGAGUGGCUGAAGGCGGCGGUUUGCUAAACCGUUAUACGGGCUUAAACCCGUAUCGAGGGUUCGAAUCCCUCCGGCUCCGCCA
rnacentral:tRNA from 1 species